UUUCCGGGUGAUCCUGCCGGACGUGACUGCUAUCGGAUUGAUACUAAGCCAUGCGAGUCAUUGUAGCAAUGCAAGGCAGACGGCUCAGUAACGCGUAGUCAACCUACCCUAUGGACGGGAAUAAUCUCGGGAAACUGAGGCUAAUUCCAGAUAGAACACUAUGCCUGGAACGGUUUGUGUUCCAAAUGAUUUAUCGCCAUAGGAUGGGACUGCGGCCUAUCAGUUUGUUGGUGAGGUAAUGGCCCACCAAGACUAUUACAGGUACGGGCUCUGAGAGGAGUAGCCCGGAGAUGGGUACUGAGACACGGACCCAGGCCCUAUGGGGCGCAGCAGGCGAGAAAACUUUGCAAUGUGCGAAAGCACGACAAGGUUAAUCCGAGUGGUUCCUGCUAAAGGAACCUUUUGACGGUCCUAAAAACACCGUUGAAUAAGGGGUGGGCAAGUUCUGGUGUCAGCCGCCGCGGUAAAACCAGCACCUCAAGUGGUCAGGAUGAUUAUUGGGCCUAAAGCAUCCGUAGCCGGCUCUGUUAGUUUUCGGUUAAAUCUGUACGCUCAACGUACAGGCUGCCGGGAAUACUACAGAGCUAGGGAGUGGGAGAGGUAGACGGUACUUGGUAGGAAGGGGUAAAAUCCUUUGAUCUAUUGAUGACCACCUGUGGCGAAGGCGGUCUACUAGAACACGUCCGACGGUGAGGGAUGAAAGCUGGGGGAGCAAACCGGAUUAGAUACCCGGGUAGUCCCAGCUGUAAACCAUGCAAACUCAAUGAUGCACUGGCUUGAAGCCAAUGCAGUGUUGCAGGGAAGCCGUUAAGUUUGCCGCCUGGGAAGUACGUACGCAAGUAUGAAACUUAAAGGAAU
rnacentral:rRNA from 1 species